rnacentral:rRNA from 1 species
AUUGAACGCUGGCGGCAUGCUUUACACAUGCAAGUCGAACGGCAGCACGGGUGCUUGCACCUGGUGGCGAGUGGCGGACGGGUGAGUAAUACAUCGGAACGUGUCCUGAAGUGGGGGAUAACGCAUCGAAAGAUGUGCUAAUACCGCAUAUACUCUGAGGAGGAAAGUAGGGGAUCGAAAGACCUUAUGCUUUUGGAGCGGCCGAUGUCUGAUUAGCUAGUUGGUAAGGUAAUGGCUUACCAAGGCGACGAUCAGUAGUUGGUCUGAGAGGACGGCCAGCCACACUGGGACUGAGACACGGCCCAGACUCCUACGGGAGGCAG